rnacentral:tRNA from 1 species
GCCUUCGUGGUAUAGUGAUCAGCACGUUCGACGUUUAUUCGAGGGGUCCGUGGUUCGAAUCCCGGCGAGGGCA